GGGGGGGGGGGGGGGGGGGGGGGGGGGGGGGGGGGGGGGGGGGGGGGGGGGGGGGGCGGCGGGGUGCGGCGGGGGAGGGGGGGGUGAGGCCGAGGGAGCGGCCGGUUAGCGGGGGAGGACGGCCGGGAACGGGGGCUAAUACCGCAUAGGUCACGAGGGGGAACGAGGGGGAGCGUCGGGCAUACCGCUAUCAGGUGAUACUACGUCGGAUAAGCUGUUUUGUGGGGUAAAGGCCUACCCAGCCGACGAACCUUCACUUGUCUGAGAGGAUGAUCAGUCACACUGGAACUGAGAAACGGUCCAGACUCGUACGGGAGGCAGCAGUGGGGAAUAUUGGACAAUGGGCGAAAGCCUGAUCCAGCUAUGCCGCGUGUGUGAAGAAGGUCUUCGGAUUGUAAAGCACUUUAAGUUGGGAGGAAGGGCAGUAAGUUAAUCCCUUGCUGUUUUGACGUUACCAACAGAAUAAGCACCGGCUAACUUCGUG
rnacentral:rRNA from 1 species